AAAUUUAUAUUCAGUACCUCUGGUGUUAGAAUGAAGAAAUUUUUAAUUUUUAAUUAGCACCUGGGUCAGUAUGACUUCAUGUAAACCUCAACCUGGGAGUUACCUUUCCCUUGUGAUAUUAGGACAUCCACACAGUUGAGGAGCAUGAAUGGAAACAUCUGACAAACCCUCUACAGGUGGUGAUUCUUGCAAAUGAGAUGUUAUCAAUGUGAACCAAUUGGAAGAACUAUAAUUAAGAUUCAAAUCAAUGAUUCGACCAUAAACUGGAUGA
rnacentral:lncRNA from 1 species